GAGAUUUUAAGAUUUUAAUAGAAAUUAAAAGGAAAAUUAAAAGUUAAAGAUUAAUUCUUAAGAAACUGAUAAUUUUGGGAAUUUAAUUUUUUUUGAAAGAAUAAUUAUUAAUGAAUUAAUGGUUAGACAAUAUUAUUAUUUAUAUCUCUUUAACAUUAAAAUUAUCAAAUAUAGAUUUUCUAUCAAAAAAAUUCUUAAUUGUAGGAUAAUUAUUAAUUAGAGAAAUAUCUAAAAUAGGCUUUCCUACAUAUGCAACUUAAAAAAAUCUUUAUUAAUUAGAAUAUUAUAAUGGACAUAAUAAAAAAAAAUGGAGUCUUUCUAAAAUAUAGGGCCCUAGGUGAUAGGGUUGGCAAAUCUUGGGUCCGGGUCUAGGUAUGGUAAUGCCCGAACCCAGUGCAUAUGUAUUUUUUAGACACUCAGGCUAAGUUUUUUAAUCCUUGUUUUUAUAGCCGGAUUAUAUUUCUUAAUAUUAUAUAUUUAUACUUUUUUUAUAAUUUUAUAAUUUUUAAAUUUAUUUCAAUGAAAUUGGACAUGAAAAUAUGAAUUUUAAAUGUUUAAAGCUUUACACAUCUAUAAUAGAUGAGUCAAAUAAAUAUAAUUAUUUAAAAUAAUAUAUAUUUUAUAAUUUUUUCAAUAAAAUUUAUGUUCCAGGCCGGAUCCCGAGCUUAUCAAGUAAUGUAGGAGACCGAUUCGACUUCAUCCUUGGGGUGGGUAAUACCUAGCAUUCCCUGUGUCCAGUCCGAGUCUGGGUCUAGACUAGGUGAUUAUUUUUUAUACUUUUAUCAGGUGAUUGUCUUGUUCGCCUAUACUUAGAGUUGUCUUUGUACAAGGCGAGCAGAGCCUAAAUUAAUCGCAAGUUUCGAACAAGAUGGCCAAUUAAAUAAAACCGCUUGAAACAACUUGGCCAUACCCUCUGCAUGCUUGUGUUUAUAGAUUUACCUUGAUUUGAAAUUUUUGUGUUUAUUUACUAUGUUUUAUUUAAUUAUUAAAUGAUUGACUAAAAUAUAUAGGAAUAACAUUUUUAUAGAAAUUUUAGUUUCGUAAAUAAAAAAUGGUGGUUCUACCACAAAGUUACUAACAAAAAGAAGCACCCAAAGUGAUAAUGACAUCAUAUAAUUUUUUAUUACAAAAGACAAUGUCAACCAAAAUUUCUUUCCAUAUUAUAAAAAAUUAAAGAUAAGAUUAAAGUUGAAAACUAAUUUCAUGGUGAAGUAAGCAAUACUUGGAACAUUUUUUAAGAAGCCACAUAGACACAUCAUAUAGAUUAAGUUUUAAAUUAGUUAAAUAUUAAUUUAUACAGUAAGUGGGGCCCUAUCAAUUUUUUUUUUAUAAUUUACUAUCUUAUAAAUUACUAAUUUAACAUGUUGGUCCCAAGUUCAAACAGUCAAGAAUAACUUAUUCAAUUGAAAUUAUCAAUUUAUCGAGUAUUAUUUUAUCCAAAUUGUAUGGUUCAACAAGGGAAAGUUGAACCAAUAUUACACUAUCAAUAACAAUAUUGAGAUUAUAUCUUCUUUUGCUAGCAACAGGAAUUCUAAAAGAAUAAACUGAAAAGUAAUUAAGGUCUAAAAAUAAUAUUAAAAUUAAUUCUUAACAAAUUAGGGAUGAAGGCCAUAUAUGGUAAGGGUGUUCGCGGACCAAUCUAUAUCUGAUCCAAGAUUUUAUUGAUUACAAAUAUUUAAUCCAAUCUAAUCCAUGAAUUAGUAAAAUUAAUCCAAAUUCAAUUCAUACGUCCACGGAUUGAAUGCAAAUUUGAUACAAUCCGUGUGCAAUCCACCAUCUUGUAUAUUGAUUUUUAAUUAAAAAAAUUUAUUUUAUCCAAUCCACAAAUAAUUAAAUAAAAUCUAAAUUAAUUAAUAUUUUAAAUAACACACCAAAGAGAAAAAAUCUGAUUUGUUUGGAUCAAUGCAUGAAAAUUAACUAAAAUUAUGGAAUAAAAUCAAUUCAAAAGUUGAAACUUGAAACUUUGGAUAAUCUAUCAAAAAGUCCACCUACAAUUCGUAUUUUUUAACAUGAAAAAAGGAUAGAAAUAAUUGAAAUAAAUAACAUAAAAGAAUUUACUCCAAUAAUACUUCUUAGGUAGCUGUAUAUGUUUACUUAAUUAUUUUUUAUUUUCUAUUAUCAAUAGAUAAAAUAUAAUGUAGUAUUAGUGUAACUACAUUUUAACUUAUUUAUACUAAUAAUGCCACAUUUACAAGUUUUAAUUUUUUUAAAAUUAUACACACACAUACACAUAUUACGUAUUUAAGAUUUUUAAGAAUUUACUUUUGUAAAUCUAUAUUAAAUCCAUCGACUGUGAAUUUAAAAUUUUUAAUACAAUUAAAUCCAUUAAUCUAUGAAUUAAAAUUUUACAGAUCAAAUAUUUAUGGAUCUGACAGAUUGAACAGACUGGAUUAAUUCUCAACACUCCUAGCACAUCACACGCUACCCCACUUAAUUGAAAAAAAAAAUGGUUCAGAUUUUAUUUUAUGCUUUGAGUAUUGCCCCCUGAAGCCCUUAGUGAUCUACCUCCUUAAGUCCCUUAGCCCUUGUUUGAGGGAAAUACUCCGACGAGACUAGACGUGAUGAGCAGAUGUUUGGUGGCAGAGUUCUGCGAGCAGGUGUGUCCUGUAAGAGCCAGGUAGCAAGGGAACAGGAGCAGGAAUAUUUUGCUCGUCCACGAAUAUGUCAUUCGCGAGGCCGAACUCCUGUUAGAGGCAUAAGGCCAUUCCUGCUAGGGGUCGAGGCGAGGAGACCCGGUCAACGACAGUUGGCAAGACGUGCAUUCCUAUCCGAGAAUCAAGGCACGAGGUCCAUCUCCAUUCGCCCACAAUGACGAUAAUGGGGUAUCCACAUCCGAGGGUGGGGAGAAUAAUGGGCGUGGACUACGGAAGACCGAGAUUCAGAGGAAGCUUAUAAAACGGUAGCCAACGAAGGUAAAAGGGUUAGAAUUUUUGCUAUUAGAACUAAGAAAAGAGAGCUCUAAAAACUGAGACUAAAGAGAAGCCGUAAGAUUCGUGGCAAACACUCCCAGAACCUUCAUAUCUGACUUGAGCGUCGGAGGGUUUACGCUGGGAAAACAACCGGCGUACUCUGACAUGCUUCUGUGUACGCAAGAACUUUUGGAGAAGAAACCUUACGAGGAGAGAUCCUGGUCGUGGUAGAGUUGGUCGAGCAGAGGUCCUGGUCUUGGUAGAGAAGGCAAUCAGAAUCUCGCAUCAACAUUUUGGCGCCGUCUUUGGGGAACUGAUCAAAAAGCUUCUGUUGAUAGCAAGAAGAGGAGUGAAGCAAGUGGAAAAGCAAUGGAGACAGGAGGAAGUAGUGCACAAGGGAGUGAUAUGAGGCUUAAUGAUUCCGUGACGCUGAGGGAGAUAGCCAGUGAAGCACGGGAAAAAGCCAUGUUCGACUGGAUGGAACGGAUGAAAAAACAGAUGGAGACCCUGACAACCAUCCUACAUGAGCUGCGGAGUGAACGAAGGGGAACCCAGGAGGAAAGGGUGAGAGGUGGUGGAGUGGCACCAAGUCCCGAUAGUACGAGGAGAAGUCAAACUACUGGGAGAUUUGGUGGUGACAGAGGUAACAUACCUCUGCGGGGAGAAUUUCAUAGAGAGGAAAAGCAAUCCCCGGCAAGACAGAUUUUUGACGAGGACGAUGGGGUGGCGAAUGCAGAGGAAACAGAGUUGAGGCAACAUUUGCAUGAUGUAGAGCAAGAGCAGGAUCAAGUUGCAGCACGUGACCUUGGUCGUGCAGUGCAGCUGGAGGAGGAAGUGCGCAAACUAGUGCAGAUAAUUGACGACAUGCAAAGAAGGAGCAGAGCUCCUGGUUGGAGGAUAAUGCUGGAUGGAGAAUCACCGCUCGCAGCAGAGAUCAUGAGGACAGUUAUUCCGAGAGAUUUCCGCCUCCAAGACCUUAAAUAUUCGGGACGAACUGAUCCGCUGGUGCACAUAGAGCGCUUCAACGAUAUAACUAUGGUACAAGGAUUAUCUCAAUCCCAAAGGUGCAAGGUGUUCCCACUAUCCCUUGAGGGACGUGGACGCGAGUGGUACAGAAAACUUCCUCGGGGGAGCAUUAAAACCUUCGAGCAGAUGUGCUAGGAAUUUGCAGAAAAGUUUCGUGGGGCAAUGGCACUAGAAGAUGACAUGAUGGAGUUGAAAAGCAUGAAACAGGGGGAACAAGAAACCCUUAGAGAAUUCAUCAAGAGGUUUCAUCGUGCUGUCCUCGAUUUGGGAGCCUUCAACCAUCCUCAGGCAUUAGGGGAUUGAAAGAAGGGGUGAAGAUAAGAAGGCCGUGGUACAAUUUGAGAAGUCCAGUUAUUCAGACGUAUGCAACCGCAUACGAGCAGGCUAAGAGGGACAUUGAGAUUGAAGAGGAAAAGACAGCACAGAUCAAGACAGACCAGUUAGAAGGGUUGGGAAAGAAAGAGAAGAAAGCAUUACCAGGGAAUAGGCCGAUCAGGAGGAGGGACCAUCAGGCCUCAGGUAGUGGAGCAGGAGGUCGGGUAACAUAAAUUAUGUAAAUUGAACAUUUUCGAAUAUUUUCGAAGGCAUGCAAAGGCUCGCCAAGUCUCAAAGCCUGUUUACGGCGAGACUAGAAGCCAAGCGUGCUAGGAUCUACUCGACCGAGCGGAGGCGAGUAGAAUCCCAAGACAUGCAGAAAACUAAGUCUGAAAGCCAGUCACAUGGCAAAACCAUAUGCCAAGCCAGAGCCUGCUCGGCCAAGCAAAGGCGAGCAGACCCUGAAACGAAAAAAUGACUCGUAAAUACAACACAAGAAAGUAAUCAAAAACAUUUUCAUUAAUUUGUCAAUAACCGAUAAUCUUCGAAUACAUCGUUCAUUACAACACAAGAAACAUGCUCAAGAAGAUGGCGGGUCAGUAAGCCGAGCAGCAUCAGUUGGCUGGACCACCUCAGGUGCAAGGGGGGUAUCAUCAGUUGCGUCCGGAGGGGUGCUCGCCUCAACAACAUCAGCAUGGAUGGCACAAGGAGGAGAGUUUUCCUCCUUGACCAGGAUUGGCUCCCCCCUUCGGCAUCUCCCUUGGCCGCCUCCUCGUCCAUGUGUUGAGCAACACCAGCUGCAAGGUCAUCCAUCUUCAGAUCGGGAUGCUGCUUUCCGAGGACGGCCAUGAUGCAACGAUAGGAAUGUCGAAGUCCCUGGUCGUACUGGUUGUCGGCUUCCUUCUCCAGGUUCUCGACCUAAACCCGGUGGGAGUCGCGGAGAGAUUCGAGCUGAACCUCGUAUAUAGCUUUCUGCCUUUGCAGAUCCUCCUUGAUCUUAGUCAGCUCUUCCUCGAGAGUAAUGGCCUUUGCUUGAGCAAGAGAUUCUUGCUCUAUCAACUUCAGAUUCUCGAGAUUCAGCUCCCCUGCUUUCUUCUCAGCAUCGUCAGCUCUGGUCCUCUCCGACUGAAUGUCCUCCUUCAUCUUCCUGUCAUAACGGCCAACCUUGGCCUUAUAGUAGGUGGUCAUGCAGCUGAGAUGGAAGGCGCUAUACUGCAUGGCUCCCACCAGCUCGCCUAGAGUGCAGCCAUCAAAGUCCUCCAGAUCCUUCUUGCUCAUGAGUCUGGAAAGCUCGUUGAGAUAGGGGGCCAAGUGUUCUGCUCGGCUGUCAGAUAAACGAGAUAUAGGCCCGACAGGAGGAGAAGAGGAAGCAGGAUUAGUGGCUGCUCCACUAGUUUUUCCGACUUUGGCAGGAGGAGGAGGUAGAGUCUUCAGGGGAGGAACCUGCUGCAUAAUAUUCACCUGCUUCGUAGUGGGAGCGUCCUUGCUCUGGUCUAUUUUCGCAGUUUGAGGUCAAGGGCGCUUCCGAGUCAGAGCCCCAAUCACAGCAUCCUCCAUCUUAUGGCCGGGGGGCACCAAACCAGACUCGAACAUGUUAUAGGUAGUUAUCAGCUAUCGGUACAAGCAGGAAUUGGCCAGUACAGCCUCGACCCGUUUGAGCUGGUCGGGUUUAAGCGAGAAGUGAACGCCCCAAGAAUCUGUAAAACGAACAGACAUCUGGUUAGAGACAAAUCAACAAAGUGAGAAUAACUAUGGAGACAAGACAAUUAAAACAAGCAGACAACCUGGAACCACAAAACGGGGUGGGACGCGAUAAUCCUUCCCGUCAACCCGUGCAACCUGACCCCAAGGACCCCCAGCAAAAAAAAAAACUUUUUCUUCCAAUUCCCACCACCACCAGUAGGAAUCUCGGUUAUGGGUUUCCUGGUCUUAGUACUGAAUUGGAAGUAAUACCAGCCAGCAUCUUUGGGGCUACUUUUCAGCUGGUACAGGUGUUUCACCUCCUCAACUGUGGGCUCGCUUUGAUAACAUCUGUCCCACAAUAUGAACAGACCAUAGAGUACUCUCCACCCGUUGGGGUUUAGUUGACCAGGAGCUAGAUUUAGCCCGUUGAGUAUCCGUGCAAAGUAGGGUUGCAAGGGGCACCUCAGCCCAUAAUUGAAGCUCUCCAGAAACAGGGUAACAUAUCCCCUAGGAGAUCUGCUAGGAGCAUCCUUCUUUCCUGGGAUCUUAAGGGGUAUUUCACCAGGAAUAUGAUACCUGAGCCGGAGGUCAUCGAGCUCGUUGAAUGUGGUCGAGCACGUUACGUAAUCAACAGCAUAAUCCCGCGACAGGGUUCUACCUCCUACUGUACUCCGCCCCUCUGGUCACAGUGUUCCUGGCGAGGAUCCCUCACCAGAGUCACCUCCUGGAUCCUCACUUAGGGUAUUUUCCGAGCCAGAAGAUCCCUCCUUACCACUAUUUCCACUCGAGGAGGUUACUUGGGGGGGCAUCCUCCUAGCGCUAGUACCAACACUAGAUCUAAUGGGUUUUAAGGGGAUCCCGGGGUCAAAGGUAUGAUCGGUGAGCAGACUGGACAGGAAGUCUAACUCAUCGUCAUCAACCUCAACGAUUUUCUCUUUACCUUUUGACAUGCCCUAAGCUAUAACUAGAGCAACACCACCAAAUUCUACCCAAACAAAGCAUAGAGAAAAGAAAUUAUCUACAACUAACCAAGACUGAGAAAAUAGAAGAAAUACCUGAAGCAGGGACUCGGUCAGAGAGAGACAUGGAUGAAAGCUUUAAUGCCAAGGUUCAUUCGCCGGAGAGACAAGAAGGGAGAAAAUGACGAGCUCGCGUUUGAGGAUUUUGGGUUUUCUUACUGAGGAGCAAACUCUUGGGCUGCCAGUAUUUAAUGACACAUAUCCCGAGAAUCUUACAACCGUAGGUUUGAAAUUCAAAUGGAGGGGUAGAUUUCUGCCACAUCACUUCAUCCGCAAUUAAAUACGACACGAUUCUUGGCAGCCUUUUCCAGUCCCACGCGAGCAAGAACCGUUGAGUUUCUACUGCUGGUCCAUUACAUUACCCAACACUAGAAACUGGAGGACCGGUGUUUGAGGGAAAUACUCCGACGAGACCAGACGUGAUGAGCAGAUGUUUGGUGGCAGAGUUCUGCGAGCAGGUGUGUCCUGUAAGAGCCAGGUAGCAGGGGAACAGGAGCAGGAAUAUUCUGCUCGUCCACGAAUAUGCUAUUCGCGAGGCCGAACUCCUGUUAGAGGCAUAAGGUCAUUCCUGCUAGAGGUCGAGGCGAGGAGACCCGGUCAACGACAGUUGGCAAGACGUGCAUUCCUAUCCGAGAAUCAAGGCACGAGGUCCAUCUCCAUUCGCCCACAAUGACGAU
rnacentral:lncRNA from 1 species